rnacentral:sRNA from 1 species
AACUGGUGGUGCAGUAUCCUAGUCAGACAGUCGUUCAUCCAAGGCGGGACUAAAAAAUCGUCAAAGGGCAUAACGAUGAAGUUUCUUGUGUUGGCUUUUGUUGCCCAAACAGGGGUUGAUGCUGGAAGUUAAGGUUUUUGGGUAAGCCGUAACGGCAUACGGCCGAUUCCCAAUUUCCGUGGAGACUUAUAUCGGUGGCGGACAUUUAAAAUCCGUUACUGAAUAAGGUUAAACCUGCUAUGCGGUAAAUUGCUGUGUACAGUGUAGCCUGCCUUGAGUGGUGCAUUGGGAUUCACGAACACGUCUGCGUGCGUUGGCCAACGUUCGCGGAUGAUUGCGAGAUGAAAUAUGCAUUGCAAAAGAGGCUAGAUGGGCGUUUGUUUGUUAAGGAAAACUUCUAGGCUGUAUUUCAGGUAUUUUGGGGAUUAUAGUACGGACUUAGUGGCGAUUCAGUUCCGCUGUCGGUGACGGCGCGGUGCGGGAUUCAAAAGGAAACUGCUUCUUCGGCGACGGGAAGUAUCCCGCAGGGAAAUCCUACUGAACCUAUGCCGUAAGGUUUACCUAAUUUACCACCACCCGUUUUAUUUUU